rnacentral:tRNA from 1 species
AAGAUGCUAGUAAAAUAAAUUACACUGCCUUGUCAAGGCAGAAUUGCAGGUUAAAGCCCUACGCAUCUUU